GCGCCUCACUGAGGGGACACUGAUCCAGGCGCUAGACCUGAGACAGCAGGAAGAAAUUCCUUCCUGCGAGGGUGGUGAGACCCUGCAGCUGGUUGCUCAGGGAGGUUGUAGAUGCCGCACCUUUGGAAGUGUUCAAGGCUUGGAUUGAUGCCUUCAGAGGCUCCCUGAGCAGAGGCUCGACUGUGUUAAAGGAGUAAAGUAGGGAUUCAUUAAAAAGGCCUUCAGAGGAUACACCCUGGGCAGUACAAGAGCCCGGCCAUGGAUCGACCCAAGAAGGACUCCAAGUCAUGAGUUUUCACACUUUUAUAAGUUUUGGUCCAUUUACAUAUUGGGGUUAAUUGUCCAGUUACAGCUGCAGGUUAUGCACUCCCGUCCUCCCAGUUUGCUCUCCUCAAUUCGCUCAUGUUUACACUUUUUGGGCCCGAAGCUGCAAUGGUGUCCUUGGUUCUCGUGCUGGAAAAGGAUUGUUUUGUCUGACUAAGCUCUGAGGAGAACUUGGUAACACUUUAUAUGAAGUUCAGAGUUACACACUAGUGAAGUACAGAAUCUGGAAAAUACGAAAGCUAAAACCCACGGAGGGGACAUGGAGCUUCAAGGGAGUGUGCGGUGUCCCAAGGACUGGAGGGUGCUUUCCAUCACAGACUCAGCUGGGUUGGAGAGGACUCCUGAGAUCAUCGAGUCCAUGUCACCUAGACCAUGGCGCUCAGUGCCGUGUCCAGUCCUUCUCAGAGACCUCCAGGGAUGGUGACACUGCCACAUCCCGGGGCAGCCCGUUCCAAAGCCUAAUCACCACUUCUGUGGAUAAAUUCUUCCUGAUGUCCAAGCUAAACCUCCCCUGGCACAUCUAUGACUACCUGUGCAGUUUAAGGCUAGGACUGUGUGUGCCCUCUGAGCCUCAGCCCAUCGCCACCCUCUCCACAGAGCUCCUGCAUCCUCAUCCUCGCAUCGCCUCGCUGGCCCCAGCUGGCAACCACCAAGGCUGUGCCAAAGCUUGAGAAGGGGACUGCUGCUGCCUGUAAAGAAGGCCACAAAAACUCAUUUAACUAUGUAAAAGUGUUUGGAGAUCCUUGAAUGAAGGAAAUUACAACCUGAAAUCCACUUUCAAUUAAAAAACAACACCCAAACCUCCAGAUCUUGAUGUAGGUCUCUAAUUUCUUGCAUGCUAAUAAUAAUGUUUAAAGAUGUCUAAACACCAAGAUCUGUUAUUGCAGUGAAUUUGCCCACAAAAUUGGAGAACAGGUUUAGGCCCUUAAAAAAAAAAAAAAAAAAAGGUCCACUAAGAGAAAGCAUGGGAAAAAAUUAAAGUUAAAAUAUACAUAGAAAGAGGUGAGGCUGCCUUGACAGCUGUGGUUACAUUGAUGUUGGAGGAUAUGUAGAGAGCUAGAGGGGAACUGUUUAUGUUUAAGAAAAAAGUUAUUACUCAUACCAACUGUGAUCUUUUUUCAGUGUGGGCUGAACAUUUGUAACACCCAUUAAAGAGAAUUACGCAUGUAAUUCCUGCCAUGUUAAAAAGGUGAUUGUCAACCUCACAGAAAUGUAGCUAAUACUUUGAUGAAACAGAUCCUGCUUGUGUUUUUAAUUUCCAUAUUUUUUGUUUGUGGAAAUACUGUUCUGGGAAAGCAAGGCCAUUUUGUGUGACAGAGAGGGUUUGAUCUUUUUGUGAUGUAUUUCUAAGAUUAAAUACUACCUUGAAAAAAAAAAUCACAUCAGUACAUGUAAUAAGAGAGGAAGAGGUGUGUUCCAAUGCAGAAGAUAAAGCAUUGCUCCUGCUGAGAGCAGUGCUCGUGUGUGACUCGAUGCUGUGAGCGGGCAGUGGGCCUGCCCAGUGGAUUUAACUAAAUUGAAGAAUUUGUUUAAAUAAAGUGUGGAACUGACUGCUUUGAUGAGGCAGGACCUCUGA